UACGUAGGUGGCGAGCGUUGUCCGGAUUUACUGGGCGUAAAGGGAGCGUAGGCGGACUUUUAAGUGAGAUGUGAAAUACUCGGGCUCAACUAGAGUGCUGCAUUUCAAACUGGAAGUCUGGAGUGCAGGAGAGGAGAAUGGAAUUCCUAGUGUAGCGGUGAAAUGCGUAGAGAUUAGGAAGAACACCAGUGGCGAAGGCGAUUCUCUGGACUGUGACUGACGCUGAGGCUCGAAAGCGUGGGGAGCAAACAGG
rnacentral:rRNA from 1 species